CCACCCUCCUCACCGGGGCGGAAGCAUGGUCCUCCCCACCGGGGCGGAAGCCGGGUUCAGCCGGCAGAAGAUCCGGGGCUGGGGAAAAAAGGGUAGUCCUGCGAAGACUGAAGGGUGAGGACGGGGCGCCCACUCUGCGCGUGAUCGCCGGCCCUGCGCGUGCGCCCUGGCGCGGCCCGGGUGACAGGGUGUGGAAACUUCUCAUUUGGAAUUAGUAGAAUCUAUUUGGACAUAUAUGCCACAUGUUCACAUUUUGGGGAAAUUUUGUAAUCAUAAUGGAGCAUUUCCAAUUCCUCCUGAAAAUAAACUGAAAAUUCCUGUAGGAGCCAAAAUUCAAACUUCACAUUUAGUUGGUUUAUUUUUGGACAUCAAGCCCAUCAUUACCAGCCAGUGAAGAAGGAUUUCAGCCUAUGCCCUCAAUCACAAUAAGACCAGCAGAUGACCAACAUCUUCCUAUUGCAAAUACUUGCAUUUCUCGACUUUAUGUCCCACUCUAUUCCUCUAGAUUCUCAAACAGAAGUUGCUACUUGCCAUUAAGACCAAGAAUUUUGGUUUUGUGUAGAGUAUAAAAAGUGUGUAUUGAUGUGUAAUAUUACUAGCUAAUUUUGUAGAUUUCUUUCCCAUUUGUCUAUAAAAGUUUAUGAAAGUUAAUGCUGUCACACCCCCUGGUGGUACUUUAAAGAGAUUAAAUGCAAACAUUCCUUGCUGAGUUUGUAGCUUAAAGGCCAGAGAAGCACUGGCAACAUUUGACUAUAAUGGUUUGCUAGUCAACAACUUCUGGGUCUAACCCCAGCCAAAGAUGACAGCAGAACAACAUAAUUUACAUUAUGAUUUAUGUUUGCUGAGGGGAAAAAAUGUAAAAUGUUAUGAAAAUUCACUGCUGCCUUUGUGUAAAGUGUUUCAGAAAAGGUUCUUGUAUAGAGGGAAUAGGGAAUUUCAAAAUAAAAAGUUAAGUAUG